GGCCUGGGUAGUUUAGCGGUUAUAACACCAGUCCGGAUAGCUGGAGGUCCCGGGUUCAAUUCCCGGUCCAGUCC